rnacentral:rRNA from 1 species
GACGAACGCUGGCGGCGUGCUUAACACAUGCAAGUCGAACGGUGAAGCGCCUUCCUUUUUGGUGGGUGUGGAUGAGUGGCGAACGGGUGAGUAACACGUGAGUAACCUGCCCCCUUCUUCUGGAUAACCGCAUGAAAGUGUGGCUAAUACGGGAUAUUCUGGGUCUGUCGCAUGAUGGGUCUGGGAAAGAUAUUGUUUCGGUGGGGGAUGGGCUCGCGGCCUAUCAGCUUGUUGGUGGGGUGAUGGCCCACCAAGGCGGUGACGGGUAGCCGGCCUGAGAGGGUGGACGGUCACACUGGGACUGAGACACGGCCCAGACUCCUACGGGAGGCAGCAGGGGGGAAUAUUGCACAAUGGGCGCAAGCCUGAUGCAGCGACGCCGCGUGAGGGAUGGAGGCCUUCGGGUUGUGAACCUCUUUCGCCAGUGAAGCAGGCCUGCCUCGUUUGUGGGUGGGUUGACGGUAGCUGGAUAAGAAGCGCCGGCUAACUACGUG